GGAUCAUUCCGCGGUUGAAUUUGAUUGCACUACCGCCACAAUACUACCGCACCACCGUCGUAUAACCGUCACACCGCCGUAUAACUGUCGAAGUCAGUAUAUCAGUUUUAUACGAGGACCUGCUGAAAAACCAAAUGAACAAUACUACAAGCGAACACCUCUUACAUUGGUGUGACACACAAUCUGGCAGCAGCAAUAACAAACCAUUAUCGUAUUCUAGCUAGUUCUCUUUCCAUAGGAGUGGAGCACUUGAUGAGGGAUGUGAAGUAUACAACACUUGCAACAGAUACCAUAGUUUAGAAUUUCAACUUCAUCUACAAUUCUUGCAAGUAAAGCUACUGGUCUACUGCAAGCCAUGCUACUGGUCUACUGUGAUGAUGUGAUUUUGUUUAUGGGUUUAAGAUUAUUCUUAGUUGACAUAUACCUUACAUAUCUUAUUUGUUGGGAUUUUAAAAAUGUAUUGCUUAUACAAUAUAAGUGAUUUUGAUUGAUUUAUAGCUUA